rnacentral:ncRNA from 1 species
GAUAACUGGCUUGUGGUGGUCAAGCGUUCAUAGCGACGUCGCUUUUUGAUCCUUCGAUGUCGGCUCUUCCUAUCAUUGUGGAGCAGAAUUCACCAAGCGUUGGAUUGCUCACCCACUCAUAGGGAACGUGAGCUGGGUUUAGACCAUCGUGAGACAGGUC